rnacentral:tRNA from 1 species
GGGACUAUAGCUCAGUUGGUUAGAGCUUCCGGCUCAUAACCGGACGGUCCAAGGUUCGAUUCCUUGUGGUCCCACCA